GCUAGAAAUUGUUGAUCGAUGAAUGUCAAAUCGAUGUUGAUUCAACGUCGCUCGACGUCAAAUCGAUGUUAAUUCAACGUCGAUUGACGUUAAUUCUAUAUUGAUCGAUCAUUCACUUGUAGCUAGGG